UGAGAGUGUGAUACCUGCGAUGUGGGUC
rnacentral:sRNA from 1 species